rnacentral:rRNA from 1 species
CCUACGGGGGGCAGCAGUGAGGAAUAUUGGUCAAUGGGCGCGAGCCUGAACCAGCCAAGCAGCGUGAAGGAUGACUGCGCUACGGGUUGUAAACUUCUUUUGUAAAGGAAUAAAGUGAGGCACGUGUGCCUGUUUGUAUGUACUUUAUGAAUAAGGAUCGGCUAACUCCGUGCCAGCAGCCGCGGUAAUACGGAGGAUGCGAGCGUUAUCCGGAUUUAUUGGGGUUAAAGGGAGCGUAGAUGGGUUGUUAAGUCAGUGGUGAAAGUCUGCGGCUCAACCGUGAAAUUGCCAUUGAUACUGGCAGUCUUGAGUGCAGGAGAGGUAUGCGGAAUGCGUGGUGUAGCGGUGAAAUGCUUAGAUAUCACGAAGAACUCCGAUUGCGAAGGCAGCUUAC